UAGGAUUUAUGUUUUUAAACUUAUAUUUUAUGUUUGAGGAUGCUUAUUAUUUUGUAUGCUUGAUUGUCUAAACAGAGCUAACAUUAGGCAAGGAACAUCAAGUUUGACUCCAAGCACAUGCGAACAUAUCUGCGCUCCGCCAUCGAUCGAUAAGGAGAGGAUUACAUCGAUCGAUUCUGAGCGCGUAACAUCGAUCGAUAUGGAGAGGAGUACAUCGAUCGAUGUGUAGUACGGAUAGGUACUUCAUUUUUACUCUAACAUUCUCAAAACAUCUGACUUGAUUUUACCAACCCUUGAACACUUUGCACCGAGUCGGUGCAAUUUAGGCCUGGGGGAGGCAGUUACUAACACCUUUUUCUCGAGUUUUUGUCAAAAAAAAAAAAAUCUUUUUAAAAAAAUCUUUUUAAAAAAAUAAAAAAAAGUAUAAAAUAUAUAAUUUUAUGGAGUCAAGAAGGGGAUUAUGAACUAAUGAUUUCUACUUGAAUGUCUAACCACUUUCUAGCACCAUUCUAGAUUUACUGACUGCAGACAAUACUAUAGAUGCUAAAGUGGAUCGACCAGUCAACUAUGCACACUUGCUAACUUGUUAGAAAGAACCGAAGCUAACCUCCAACACUAACCUGACUUCACUGCUUGUUUUGGGGCUUGGUAUACAUGGGAUCGGAUUUUUCAGACAAGUCUGGAAGGUAACGCCUGGUUUAGAUUAUUUAUCACAUUUUCUCUCUCUAGAUUUCGACCCUAGAUUAGUUAUAAAGGAAAAAAAAAAAGAAAAAAAAGAGGAUCUAUUGUUUAAUUAGGAUGAGUCUGAACAGGACUUGGUGGCUAAAACCAUUAAGGCUUGAUUCAUAAAGACUCAAAUAAAAGAGUUCGAAACGGGACUUGGAGGCGGUAAUCUUCAAGGCUCGCUUUCGCAAAGAACUCUCGGAUAUAGGUCAAAAAGAAGUGAACAGAACUUGGUGGCAACCACCAUUAAGUUUUGAUUCAUGGAAGCCUGUCCAAUCUUGGUCACUGAUCCUGCAAUGGAAGCAGACUUUGACCCAAGAGAAAAAUUUAGAGAGAGAGACAUUAGGAACUAACUUUUACCUGCAGCUCCAGAUACUUGUCUGAAAUCCUUGCAUCCUGUGAUCGAUACUCCCAAGGUAAAGCCUACACUUUUUACAUUAAGAUUGGUUAAGAUUGUUGGCUAGAUGAUUUUGGUUGCUAAGCUAGGAUAUUGCAUAAUGUAUAUAUGUAAGAAGGAACCUUAGAUGUGGAAUGCAAUAUUAUAGAGGUGAUGACUUCAAUAUUUC
rnacentral:lncRNA from 1 species